rnacentral:lncRNA from 1 species
GCGAGCCUGUCUUAUACAAGAUAGAAGGUCUAACAAGGUCAUUUCAAAUAUGGCAAUCACAAAAGAAGGCAAAUUAAACCUCAAAAGGUGAUGGCCACAGUUGAAGCCUGCUUCCUCUGAACAAAAACUCUGAGUCUGAAGCCUAGACCAUGAACACCUACUGACUGGACCAUGGCCCCUUUGCAAUCCUCAGAAGCCACCAUUGCCUCCCACACCUGGAUCCCUGAGUCUUUCAGGCCCUUUCACUGCUCCAGCAUCAUCCACCAUUUGAGGAUGUUGGCCCUGUCACCUGAUUAAACAAAAGGAAGAAAGAAGAUGGAGGGAAAAACUGAACCAAAAGGAAAAAAAGCAAGCUGAUGCAUUUACUUGUCCUAGUCUUACUUCUCCAGACAAAAAUUGAGAAGAAGUAUGCAUUUGUCACUGCAGAUGGAUCCAAUGAAACAUAUCCUCCAGCCCUGGCCCAUUAAGGACACUGGUUGAGAGCAAGGAGACAAUGGAAGUCACCAGAAAGAGAGCAAACCUCCAAGUAAAGGGCAAAAGAGAUAUCAACCUUUCAUAUCAUCUGA